rnacentral:rRNA from 1 species
AUUGAACGCUGGCGGCAGGCCUAACACAUGCAAGUCGAACGAGUGGCGGACGGGUGAGUAAUGUCUGGGAAACUGCCUGAUGGAGGGGGAUAACUACUGGAAACGGUAGCUAAUACCGCAUACAUUAAGCUGUGCCCGAAUGGGAUUAGCUAGUUGGUGGGGUAACGGCUCACCAAGGCGACGAUCCUUAGCUGGUCCGAGAGGAUGACCAGCCACACUGGAACUGAGACACGCUCCAGACUCCUACGGGAGGCAGCAGUGGGGAAUAGUGCACAAUGGGCGCAAGCCUGAUGCAGCCAUGCCGCGUGUAUGAAGAAGGCCUUCGGGUUGUAAAGUACUUUCAGCGGGGAGGCGUUACCCGCAGAAGAAGCACCGGCUAACUCCGUGCCAGCAGCCGCGGUAAUUC